UCAGCCUGUUUCAGGCUUAUCCCAGCCCCCAACACAACCUAGGCUCGGGAACCCGAGAGCCCCUGAUCCAGGGCCCGGAAUUCAGGAUCCAGGCUCGCCGUUCGGGCCGGGCGCCAGCGGAAGCCGUUACAUUGAGAUUUUGAAAAAUCUGGCGCCGGACUCCGGCUCGUAGCGCGGGAGAGAAAAAACAGUAGGUCCACAGACACGAAGUAAUUUUCCAGAAGACAGCAUAGUCACAGUCUAGCCAGAGACUCCCUCGCUCCCGGCCCUCGGCUUCGGGUGUUCAGGACAGGUGAUGUGGAGCUGUGCCUGCAGACAUUUUUGGUUGUCCCAGCAGGAGGCAGGGAUGGUGCUUGCUGGCAUCCAGCCGUGUGUAUGUGCAGGGGUGGGG